AAUGCAUGGGUACAGCACCAAACGGUCCUGUUUUGUUUUGUCUUUUAAGUAAAAAAAAAAUCUGCUUGAAAUCAUUUCAAUUUUGUUUUAAGAAAACCUAAUUUUCAAAAUCUCUCCCAUUAUCAGCCACAUACGCCGCAUGCCCAAACGGAGAACAGAGGCGAUCCCAACCCCCUCCUGGGCUUGAUCUCAACGACGGAGGAAACUCCAACGUCCACGUGACCACUGGAAGUUAGGUGCGUGGUAGGCAUGGACUCUGAUGUGGAGGCGCGAGUAGUGCGGGGGUGAAGGUGGAAGCCGUGUGUGGCGAGGGCAGUUGAGGGUUACAGCGCAAGGCUGGUUGCUAGGGUUCUGUCAAAAAUGUUUUUUUAGUUUGGGCUUAAAAGUUGGGCUAGAGUUUAAAUGUUUGUAUUACGCUGUUUGUAUUUUAGGCUAUGGUUUAAAAUUUGGGUCUGAAUUGGUAAACAAAAA